GCGAGAAUGGCGGAACUGGCAGACGCGCUAGAUUCAGGUUCUAGUGGGGUCACACCCGUGCAGGUUCAAGUCCUGUUUCUCGCACCA
rnacentral:tRNA from 1 species